CACUGAUGUAAAAAAGAAUAGAACACUUGGGAAUUAAUCUAACUAAGGUGGUAAGGGACCUGUACUUGGGAAACUGUAAGACACUGUUGAAACAAAUUGAAGACUACACAAACAGAUGGAAAUAUAUUCCAUGCUUAUGGAUUUGAAGAAUUAAUACUGUUAAAAUGAUGAUACUACUCAAGGC